rnacentral:lncRNA from 1 species
UGGGUGGCCGCUGCCGCCCGCGAGGCCCACUUCCGGUGUGUGUGCGGUGGGGGUGCGGGGUCGGCCCGGGAUCGCGGAGGCGGGACUUCCGGCGGGAAGGCAACCGCCAGCGGAACCUGCUUGCCCAGGCCUCUCGUGCUGGGAGCAGUGUUGGCUCUCACAGUGGCCUGUGAGCGCAUUUCCUGAAUUACAGCAAUUCCAACAA